rnacentral:rRNA from 1 species
GUGAGGAAUAUUGCGCAAUGGAGGCAACUCUGACGCAGCCAUGCCGCGUGCAGGAAGAAGGCCUUCGGGUUGUAAACUGCUUUUGUACGGAACGAAACGGUCCGGGUUAAUACCCUGGGCUAAUGACGGUACCGUAAGAAUAAGCACCGGCUAACUUCGUGCCAGCAGCCGCGGUAAUACGAAGGGUGCAAGCGUUAUCCGGAUUCAUUGGGUUUAAAGGGUGCGUAGGCGGAGCGUUAAGUCAGUGGUGAAAUCCUGCAGCUUAACUGUAGACUUGCCAUUGAUACUGGCGCUCUUGAGUGCGCUUGAAGUGGGCGGAAUGUGCCGUGUAGCGGUGAAAUGCUUAGAUAUGGCACAGAACACCAAUUGCGAAGGCAGCUCACUAAGGCGAUACUGACGCUGAGGCACGAAAGCGUGGGGAUCGAACAGGAUUAGAAACCCCGGUAGUCC